rnacentral:rRNA from 1 species
GGUCCAGACUCCUACGGGAGGCAGCAGUGGGGAAUAUUGCGCAAUGGGGGAAACCCUGACGCAGCCACGCCGCGUGAGUGAAGAAGGCCUUCGGGUCGUAAAGCUCUGUCGGGAGAGACGAAGGGGUAAAACUCUGACGGUAUCUCGCAAGAAAGCACCGGCUAACUCUGUGCCAGCAGCCGCGGUAAUACAGAGGGUGCAAGCGUUGCUCGGAUUUACUGGGCGUAAAGCGUACGCAGACGGACCGUCAAGUCGGGAGUGAAAGCCCUGGGCUCAACCCAGGAACGGCUUUCGAUACUAGCGGUCUUGAGUUUGGGAGAGGGAAGCGGAAUUCCUGGUGUAGAGGUGAAAUUCGUAGAUAUCAGGAGGAACACCGGCGGCGAAGGCGGCUUCCUGGCCCAAUACUGACGUUCAGGUACGAAAGCGUGGGUAGCAAACAGGAUUAGAUACCCUGGUAGUCCACGCUGUAAACGAUGAGUGCUGGAUGUCGGAGGUAUUCACCCCUUCGGUAUCGAAGCUAACGCGUUAAGCACUCCGCCUGGGGAGUACGGCCGCAAGGUUGAAACUCAAAGGAAUUGACGGGGGCCCGCACAAGCGGUGGAGUAUGUGGUUUAAUUCGACCCAUGCGCAGAACCUUACCCAGCCUUGACAUCCUUGGAACCGAGUGGAAACACUUGGGUGCUCUCGCAAGAGAGAGCCAGGAGACAGGUGCUGCAUGGCUGUCGUCAGCUCGUGUCGUGAGAUGUUCGGUUAAGUCCGGCAACGAGCGCAACCCCUGUCUUCAGUUGCCAUCAUUCAGUUGGGCACUCUGGAGAGACUGCCGGCGUCAAGCCGGAGGAAGGUGGGGAUGACGUCAAGUCCUCAUGGCCUUUAUGGUUGGGGCUACACACGUACUACAAUGAUGACUACAAAGGGCAGCCAACCCGCGAGGGGGAGCAAAUCCCAAAAAAGUCAUCUCAGUUCGGAUUGCAGUCUGCAACUCGACUGCAUGAAGUCGGAAUCGCUAGUAAUCGCGGAUCAGCAUGCCGCGGUGAAUACGUUCCCGGGCCUUGUACACACCGCCCGUCACACCACGAAAGUUGGAUGGACCCGAAGUCGCUGCUCCGACCCGCAAGGGGGGAAGGCGCCAACGGUCUGUUCGAUGAUUGGGGUGAAGUCGUAACAAGGUAGCCGUAGGGGAACCUGCGGCUG